UACGUAGGGUGCAAGCGUUGUCCGGAAUUAUUGGGCGUAAAGAGCUCGUAGGCGGCUUGUCGCGUCGGCUGUGAAAACCCGUGGCUCAACCACGGGCCUGCAUCCGAUACUGGCGGGCUCGAGGCAGGCAGGGGAGAUCGGAAUUCCUGGUGUAGCGGUGAAAUGCGCAGAUAUCAGGAGGAACACCGGUGGCGAAGGCGGAUCUCUGGGCCUGUCCUGACGCUCAGGCGCGAAAGCUAGGGGAGCAAACAGG
rnacentral:rRNA from 1 species